rnacentral:tRNA from 1 species
GGGGGAUUGGUGGAAUUGGCAGACACGUCAGUCUUAGGAACUGAUCCGCAAGGGUAAGGGUUCGAGUCCCUUAUCCCCCA